rnacentral:rRNA from 1 species
UACGGAGGGUGCGAGCGUUGUCCGGAAUCAUUGGGCGUAAAGAGCGUGUAGGCGGCCAGAAAAGUCCGCUGUGAAAACUCGAGGCUCAACUUCGAGCUGUCGGUGGAAACUUUCUGGCUAGAGUCCGGAAGAGGAGAAUGGAAUUCCUGGUGUAGCGGUGAAAUGCGCAGAUAUCAGGAAGAACACCCGUGGCGAAGGCGGUUCUCUGGGACGGUACUGACGCUGAGACGCGAAAGCGUGGGGAGCGAACAGG